GAUGAACGCUGGCGGCGUGCCUAAUACAUGCAAGUCGAGCGAACAGACGAGGUGCUUGUUUCUCUGAUGUUAGCGGCGGACGGGUGAGUAACACGUGGAUAAUCUACCUUUAAGAGUGGGACAACUUUGGGAAACGGGAGCUAAUACCGGAUAAUAUCUUGAACCACAUGGUUCAAAAUUGAAAGACGGUCUUGCUGUACUUUAUAGAUGGAUCGCGGCUGAUUUGGCUAGUGGUGAAGUUAACGGCCUACAAAGCGAAGGAUGAGAGGCCAACCGAGGAGGGUGAUCGCCCACAUGGGAACUGGACCACGGUCAAGACUCCUACGGGAGGCACCAGAAGGGAACCUUCCGCAAUGGGGGAAAGCCUGACGGAGCAACCCGGCGUAGGUGAUAAAGGUCUCCGGUUCGUAAAACUCGUUUGUAGGGGAGAAACAUAUGUAUAAUGGAAUGUGCACCAAGUGACGGUAACUAAUCAGAAAGCCACGGCUAACUACGUG
rnacentral:rRNA from 1 species